GACGUAGGGGGCCAGCGUUGUUCGGAAUUACUGGGUGUAAAGGGUUCGUAGGCGGUGCGGCAAGUUGGGAGUGAAGUCUCUGGGCUUAACCCAGAGGCUGCUUCCAAAACUGCUGUGCUUGAGUGUGGGAGAGGCGCGUGGAAUUGCAGGUGUAGCGGUGAAAUGCGUAGAUAUCUGCAGGAACACCCGUGGCGAAAGCGGCGCGCUGGACCACUACUGACGCUGAGGAACGAAAGCUAGGGGAGCAAACAGG
rnacentral:rRNA from 1 species